rnacentral:rRNA from 1 species
AUUAGCUAGUUGGUAGGGUAAUGGCCUACCAAGGCGACGAUCGAUAGCCGGCCUGAGAGGGCGGACGGCCACACUGGGACUGAGACACGGCCCAGACUCCUACGGGAGGCAGCAGUGGGGAAUUGUUCGCAAUGGGCGCAAGCCUGACGACGCAACGCCGCGUGGAGGAUGAAGAUCUUCGGGUCGUAAACUCCUGUCGACCGGGACGAAAUUCCCGGGAGCUAACAUCUCCCGGGAUUGACGGUACCGGUGGAGGAAGCCCCGGCUAACUCCGUGCCAGCAGCCGCGGUAAUACGGGGGGGGCAAGCGUUGUUCGGAAUUACUGGGCGUAAAGGGCUCGUAGGCGGCCAUCUAAGUCCGACGUGAAAUCCCUCGGCUCAACCGAGGAACUGCGUCGGAUACUGAAUGGCUUGAAUCCAAGAGAGGGAUGCGGAAUUCCAGGUGUAGUGGUGAAAUGCGUAGAUAUCUGGAGGAACACCGGUGGCGAAGGCGGCAUCCUGGAUUGGCAUUGACGCUGAGGAGCGAAAGCCAGGGGAGCAAACGGGAUUAGAUACCCCGGUAGUCCUGGCCC